GGAAGACAAUUUUUUUUUAUGAAUCCUGAAGAUUCAUCAGAAGAUCUUGGAAGACAAUUUUUUUUUAUCUUCUACCCUUAAUUUCCUAAUCCUGGUUACUGUUCACGGGGCCAUUUUUUUUUUGGGACAAGUUCUCUUUCCAAUGGCCCAUGUGGAUGAUGGCCCAUGUUGUCCAACUGUGAUCAGCAGCCGUUUCCUCUCCCCUCUGUGAUCCUUCUCUACUUCUCCUUCUUUACUUCUCAACCAUCUGUUGCCGUGUUGGUGCAUCGAAGGUCGAUCCCACCUCGAUCAUCCCUUCUACUUCUGUUCAUGCUGUACUUUUCAUUGUUCAUGUAGUAGCCCUAAUCCUCCUUCCGGUUUUCAUUGCUUUUUACCUAGCAGCUUGCGUGUGUAGCAAUCCGUAGGUACCUUCAAGCCACCAAAACCAGCUGGACGUUCUUCUUUACAGCUGGAACUGACAGCCCUUUGAAGCUCUAUGCAGCGGGAGGGAUACAUGGACGAUUAAACUAAGGGUCCUUGGAGCAUGGGACAUGUGCCCAGUUACUGAACCAUCCAAACUAUAUGCAAUGAGUUUGGUGCUGCUUGAUGCGGAGUUGAACCUGAGACCUCUGGUGCUAUGGGAUUUGGCUUCAUAUUGGUUUUUUGGGUCUUCACCAUAUGUAAGCCCAAAGUUUUAGGGAAUUCUUCUCAAAUCAUGGUGGAUUUAAGUUGUGGUUCUCUUGUCAGUAACAAGCUUGAGCAACUGACCAUUUCAAGACGUACUGAGACAGAUGAGUCAGCACAACAACAACAACAACACUCAUCUUUUCCGCAGCACCAAAACGAAUCACUUGAAAGUGAUUGUAAAAUCGGUGUUUUUUAAUCUUUAAGGUUGGAUUUGUGCAAUUCAGAAGUUCAAGGAUACCAUAUUCGCUGCUUAUGAACCACUUGCCAAGGCAAAGAAGAACGGGGCACUGGCUAGCUUGAACUUUUUUUAGUAUUGGUGCAUGGAUUCAUAAAGGAUGAGUCAUUUCAAGGUGGCCUUAGGAUUCAGAUUUAUGUUAGGAACCAUUGUGUGAUUCAGAACCUACUCCAAUCAUCCAUUGAAGUUCUAUUUGGUGUUAUUAAAUUUUGUUCUAUCAAAGCCUGAAUAGCAGAAUCAAAGACUACUAUUAAAUUUUCCAUGGAAAGUUAUGAUCCCUAAGUCGUGGUAUAGAAAAUGUGUGAUGUUUUAGAAAGUUGUGAUCUCUUUAGCCAUAGGGAGGAACGCAUUCGUGCUAGGGAUCAACUGCGGUUCUACAAGACGCAUCAACCAGACACCUACCGGCUUGAAGUUCGACGCUACUAGAUUAUUAGAUGAUGAGUGUUAUUUAUGUUUGAUUGUGAUGUUUAUUUCAGACGAUGUUUAUUGCUUAAUGUUCGUUCUUCAAUUUUAUUUUUUGUGGUUCA